GAAAAUUUAGUCGAACGAGGCGAGAGUAACCGACAUUCAGCCAGUACUGGCACGUCUUUCAGCCAACCCGCUUCUGCCCGCGAAAACUCUAAACGAAAACCAUUACAGCUUUCUAACUUAAACAAUUUUAAUAAUUAUCUGUGCACUUUUAGGCAGACGGUAAAAGAACUCGGUAAUUUUAUUCAAAUUGACGUUAAAUGUCACGUGUUAUUGAACUGUCAAAUGAUAUGUAAAAUUAUCAAUGACGUCAGUCAAGUGUCACGUGAUUAUCAACUGUCAAAAGUGAGAGAGAUGGAAGGUCGUCCGAAAGAGACAAGAAAUGUCAAAGAUUCUAUUGACGGAAGUUCAUCACGCGCGUGCCGGCUGUGACGUCACGGCGGACACCGGAAGUAGACAGUGGCGCCGCCUGCCGGAACCGGAUGUCGCCGCAUUGCACGAUAUCUGACCAACGGAUUUACUUGAGGCUGUCGACACCGACCGGAGGAGACGUACGGACACUUUAUGAUAAAUAUACGAGAUUCUUCGUGUCA